UAAUACGAAGGGUGCAAGCGUUACUCGGAAUUACUGGGCGUAAAGCGUGCGUAGGUGGUUCGUUAAGUCUGCCGUGAAAGCCCCGGGCUCAACCUGGGAAUGGCGGUGGAUACUGGCGGACUAGAGUGCGGUAGAGGGUGGUGGAAUUCCCGGUGUAGCAGUGAAAUGCGUAGAGAUCGGGAGGAACAUCUGUGGCGAAGGCGGCCACCUGGACCAGCACUGACACUGAGGCACGAAAGCGUGGGGAGCAAACAGGA
rnacentral:rRNA from 1 species